rnacentral:rRNA from 1 species
CCUACGGGAGGCAGCAGUGGGGAAUAUUGGGCAAUGGGCGCAAGCCUGACCCAGCAACGCCGCGUGAAGGAAGAAGGCUUUCGGGUUGUAAACUUCUUUUGUCAGGGACGAAGCAAGUGACGGUACCUGACGAAUAAGCCACGGCUAACUACGUGCCAGCAGCCGCGGUAAUACGUAGGUGGCAAGCGUUAUCCGGAUUUACUGGGGGUAAAGGGCGUGUAGGCGGGGAAGCAAGUCAGAUGUGAAAACCACGGGCUCAACCUGUGGCCUGCAUUUGAAACUGUUUUUCUUGAGUACUGGAGAGGCAGACGGAAUUCCUAGUGUAGCGGUGAAAUGCGUAGAUAUUAGGAGGAACACCAGUGGCGAAGGCGGUCUGCUGGACUGCAACUGACACUGAGGCUCGAAAGUGUGGGUAUCAAACAGGAUUAGAUACCCUUGUAGUC